GUAGGGUCCAAGCGUUAAUCGGAAUUACUGGGCGUAAAGCGUGCGCAGGCGGUUGUGCAAGACCGAUGUGAAAUCCCCCGGGGCUUAACCUGGGAAUUGCAUUGGUGACUGCACGGCUAGAGUGUGUCAGAGGGGGGGUAGAAUUCCACGUGUAGCAGUGAAAUGCGUAGAGAUGUGGAGGAAUACCGAUGGCGAAGGCAGCCCCCUGGGAUAACACUGACGCUCAUGCACGAAAGCGUGGGGAGCAAACAGGAUUAGAUACCCUGGUAGUCCACGCCCUAAACGAUGUCAACUAGUUGUUGGGGAUUCAUUUCCUUAGUAACGUAGCUAACGCGUGAAGUUGACCGCCUGGGGAGUACGGUCGCAAGAUUA
rnacentral:rRNA from 1 species